GGACAGCACAAUUGGUAGUGCGCCUGAUUAAAGUACAUACUGUGUGGGAAUAUAUUCAGGUGACCCUCGUUCGAUCCUAUGCUGUUCA